AGAGUUUGAUCAUGGCUCAGGAUGAACGCUGGCGGCGUGCCUAACACAUGCAAGUCGAGCGAGACGGUUAUGAUGGAUUCUUCGGAUGACAGAUUAGCUAGAAAGCGGCGGACGGGUGAGUAACGCGUGGGUAACCUGCCCCAUACACAGGGAUAGCCAUUGGAAACGAUGAUUAAUACCUGAUAACACUGAAAUUUCGCAUGAAGCUUCAGUCAAAGAUUUAUCGGUAUGGGAUGGACCCGCGUCUGAUUAGCUAGUUGGUAAGGUAAUGGCUUACCAAGGCGACGAUCAGUAGCCGACCUGAGAGGGUGAUCGGCCACACUGGAACUGAGACACGGUCCAGACUCCUACGGGAGGCAGCAGUGGGGAAUAUUGCACAAUGGGCGCAAGCCUGAUGCAGCAACGCCGCGUGAACGAAGAAGGUCUUCGGAUCGUAAAGUUCUUUUCUUAGGGAAGAAAAAUGACGGUACCUAAGGAAUAAGCACCGGCUAAAUACGUGCCAGCAGCCGCGGUAAUACGUAUGGUGCAAGCGUUAUCCGGAAUCACUGGGCGUAAAGGGAGCGUAGGCGGUUUUGCAAGUCAGAAGUGAAAGGCUACGGCUCAACCGUAGUAAGCUUUUGAAACUGCAAGACUAGAGUGCAGGAGAGGCAAGUGGAAUUCCUAGUGUAGAGGUGAAAUUCGUAGAUAUUAGGAGGAACAC
rnacentral:rRNA from 1 species